rnacentral:lncRNA from 1 species
UAUGAAGGAAGUUGCAGUAUUAAUUUUUGAAGAAUUGUUUUAAUCUUGCAGCUCAGAGGUUUUUUUUGGUUUCUUUCUUUUUUUUUUUUUUUUUUUUGACCUACUGGUAGGUUUCUAAAUUCAAACUCACCAGUUGCUACGUAUACUAAUCUGUGCAGUUAAAAAAAUCCAGAUGAUUUUUAUAUAACUUCAUAUCAUAAAUACAGGUGCUGGAUUUAUAUACUGCAAUUAGGGGCGAAGCAGAUCCAUACCUUGAAAUCAUGGUCAUAAUUUUGGUUUUGCUCUGCUGCCUUUUCCCACUAAGUGAUCAGCCCCAGUUCUUCAGGGUUAAGCACGUUUAACUCAGGGACCUUGUAGCACUUGGAAACACUUGGCUCUAACCGACAUGCCUUGGGAGUAUUAGAAUAUGAGCUACCCGUGCAACAUCGGCUGCAGUGCUCCUGCUGGGAUGAGAAUCGAUCACGGCACAGGACGAAUGCAGUGGGUCCUGUGUUCGUGCACGGACAGGCUGGGCAUCACCCAGUGAUUGGCUGUUGCUCCUGAAGGCAGUUUUCAGGAGAAGGCAUUCUAUGAAGUGUCAGUGCUAGAGUCGAGUCAGGUAGGAUUGUUCUUGGGUUCAGGAUGGCUCGGGUAGUGCUCAGCGUGGGCUGACGCAGCACUUUGUUAUGGGAGGGUGGUUCAGUGAGUGCCCUUGGGAUCCAGCAAGUCAGGCAAGCAGGAGUGCUGAUCUUAGUAGCCACUUUCUGUGGUUGGCUGUGUACCUGCCGGGAGACAAGUCUUUGUAUUGAUAGUGAGUGAAAGCAGCAGUAAUAGUCAUACCCGGGGCAACCUGGCCAUAAAAUACUGUCAGGAAGUAUGGAGGACAGACUUCAGAAGUAAAAAGAUGGCUGAUGAACUGUAAGCAUAGUAGUCUUAUCCAUGCAGGAGGAAGGAGCUGGUGGGGGGGACACUUUCUGGUUUAAAAUGAGUAAGGCGUGUUUGAUUUUAUAAGAUAGCACUUGAAUAGAAGGGAAACUGUGGCAGCUAUGAGACACAGUGUCUAUUGGCGAGAGCUCGCUGUAAAGAUGUGGGUAUGCAGCAGGAGUCGGUGGCCUUUGCUGGGAAGGGACGGAAGGGCUCCACAGCCUGAUGGACUGACAGGCAGCUCCGGAGGAGAAGUGCCCGUGGGCAGCUUCUGCCAACAGGAGUUCUUCCGGAAAUGUGCUUUCCUUAAAAGGAAGCUAACUUUUAUAUUUAGCGUACAGAAGGCCUGGUGAUGAAAACCACUCAGGUAAGAACACUUGUGGCAGUUUUCAAGCAUGAAAACUGUUGUAGGAACGUAUCACUUUUCCUCUUUAAAAAGGCUGCUAAUUGGAUUUUUAUAAUUCUUAAGAAAACUUGAAUUAGGAGGAGGAAGUGGGUUCAAAAGAUAAUGUCUCUUUCCCGUUCACAGAUAGAGGCCUGCAGCAUGGAGUCCAGUGUUGAGUAUUGUAACUACCUCAGUAAUGCUAUGAAUGUAAGAGAUUGGGAGAGAAUCCUAACUUGAAACAACAGCCAGUGCCUGUGGUGAUUUAAUGUCUUGUCAGUGCUUUUAUUGAUUGGUUAUGUGUCAUUCUUGUUGUCAAAGAAUACUUGCCUUUUUAAAGAAGCUUAUUAACACUUUCCAGUUUAUAUUUAAAAAGCUAAAGAACACUGGAUUAAUCCUUCUUGGGGGUAGAGUCAAAUAAUUGAUGACUAUUGCUGCAUACCCGGAUGGGGAGGCUGGAGAAUCAUGAUUAUUUUUAAAAACAGGAGAAUUCAGUAUAUAAUGCAACUCAACAACAGUUAGCUGGGGAGGGGGGCGGGGGGUUGUUUUGUUUAAUUUAUUAAUUAGUCUUAAGAGGUUUUUUUUUUUCUGUUUUGUUUUGAGAUUACUGGACCAUCAUUAAAUGUGUACUGUGAAGAGAUUAAUGAUGUGUGUAAAGGACUUAACCAGAGUCCACUAAUAAACACUAUUCAAGUACAAAAACGCAAACCAAAUAUCUGUGCUAUGACUAACUACAAACAGUGAGUAUGGUGCUAAGUCUACACAGCAGGGUUAGAUGAGUGCUGUGCACUUGAUUUUAAAAUAAAAGUAGUUUUCACU